rnacentral:misc_RNA from 1 species
GAAGAAGAAGACAGCAGUGAAACAAGUGAAAACAGGUUUGUGGGAUACGAAGAAAUAGAGCGUAUCCAUUUGGAGCAGAAGAAUGAAGAGGAAAAGGAGAAAAGCAUUCUGUGGAAAGUCUACGAAGUUCGGAUUUAAGAGGCUGGAAAUUGCUAGCAAUUUCUUUUGUUUUGAUUUAUGAUUAGAGAUUGACAAGGAAUAGUAAAAGACACAAAACCACUGGUUCAAGCAAAAGCAAAGACAACUUUGGAAGGACGGCUGGCUCAUAUCAAGUGGGAACUGCUGGGCCUAUGGACCAUAGUAUUGGCUACCGCUAAGUAUAGCGUGGAAUUACUAGAAUCUUGGAGGAAAUUCGGAGUCAGGGCUGGAUGGGUGACUACCUACUUCAUGAGGAGGAUGAUAAGUGUGACUGGCCAACCGCUCAACAUCAUCAGGGCAAUGGAUUUCAAAGGGGAAGAAAUUUGAACGGAAAUAAUGUUUCUAUCAGACUGUGACAUGAAAAUAAAAAUUUUUGGCAGAGAAAAUGGAGAUGGUCCAUUUAUA